rnacentral:ribozyme from 1 species
ACUUUUUUUUUUUUUUUUUUUUUUUUUUUUUUUUUUUUUUUUUUUUUUUUUUGUUUAAUGCACCUUUA